UGAGUACGAGCUGCUACGGCAGCGAAGUGGGUGAUGUCAAGCUUCCAAGAAAAGCCCUAUACCCGUUAAGGCAUGACGGCCUGUACCCGAAACCGACACAGGUGGGGUGGUACGGAAUACCGAGGGGCGCGAGAUAACUCUCUCUAAGGAACUCGGCAAAAUGGCCCCGUAACUUCGGGAGAAGGGGUGCCACCGCAAGGUGGUCGCAGUGAAGAGGCCCAGGCGACUGUUUACCAAAAACACAGGUCUCCGCUAAGUCGCAAGACGAUGUAUGGGGGCUGACGCCUGCCCAGUGCCGGAAGGUUAAGGAAGCUGGUCAGCGCAAGCGAAGCUGGCGACUGAAGCCCCGGUGAACGGCGGCCGUAACUAUAACGGUCCUAAGGUAGCGAAAUUCCUUGUCGGGUAAGUUCCGACCCGCACGAAAGGCGUAACGAUCUGGGCGCUGUCUCGGAGAGAGGCUCGGCGAAAUAGAAUUGUCUGUGAAGAUGCGGACUGCGCGCACCCGGACAGAAAGACCCUAUGAAGCUUUACUGUAGCUUGGUAUUGUGCCCGGGCUCUGAAUGCGGGUGAUGGUGAGCCAACGGUGAGAUACCACUCUUUCAGAGCUAGGGUUCUAACGGUCACCCGUUAUCCGGGGACCGGACAGUAUCAGGUGGGCAGUUUGACUGGGGCGGUCGCCUCCUAAAAGGUAACGGAGGCGCGCUAAGGUUCCCUCAGGCUGGUUGGAAAUCAGCCGUCGAGUGUAAAGGCAGAAGGGAGCUUGACUGUGAGACCUACAAGUCGAACAGGGACGAAAGUCGGCCUUAGUGAUCCGACGGUUCUGAGUGGAAGGGCCGUCGCUCAACGGAUAAAAGUUACUCUAGGAUAACAGGCUGAUCUCCCCCAAGAGUUCACAUCGACGGGGAGGUUUGGCACCUCGAUGUCGGCUCAUCGCAACCUGGGGCUGAAGUCGGUCCCAAGGGUUGGGCUGUUCGCCCAUUAAAGCGGUACGCGAGCUGGGUUCAGAACGUCGUGAGACAGUUCGGUCCAUAUCCGGUGCAUGCGCAGGAACAUUGAGAGGAUUUCUCCCUAGUACGAGAGGACCGGGAGGAACGCACCUCUGGUGUACCAGUUAUCGUGCCAACGGUAAACGCUGGGUAGCCAUGUGCGGAGCGGAUAACCGCUGAAAGCAUCUAAGUGGGAAGCCCACCUCAAGAUGAGUGUUCCCAUGGCAUAAGCCAGUAAGGUCACGGGAAGAACACCCGUUGAUAGGCUCUACGUGGAAGCGUGGCAACACGUGAAGCGGAGGAGUACUAAUAGACCGAGGGCUUGACC
rnacentral:rRNA from 1 species